rfam:Vasilyevaea enhydra strain ATCC 23634 genome assembly, contig: JN15DRAFT_scaffold00001.1
GUGGCGCUGCCCGGUGCGUGAUGGACACCAGUAUCCCCGGGGCCUUAUCGAUCCUUAAGGGAGCUGUCCCUGACCGGGCCCGUGGGCUCGGACAUACGGCGCCCACCUACGUGAGUAGGUUCCCGGGAUCGUCUGUCCCACGGCCAGGGCGGCACCUUA